rnacentral:lncRNA from 10 species
UUGUGGAAGUAAGCAACAGAGAUUUUGUCUGUUUUGUUGACUGUGGAGUCCCGUGCCCAAUCAGUGCCUGAUAUAUAAUAGGCAAUCAGUAAACAUUUGUUUACCUGUUAAUAGUCUCAUUACAGCAAUUCUUUUUUUAUUCCACAGUUGCUUUUUGGGGGGAGUUUUAUUGUCUUUCCCAACUUGUAGGCAUUAUUUUACCAAUAGUCAUUUUCAGUUAUUUUAGUAUAAAUCCAAAAGGGAGUCCCUGAGGAGCUGGUUAGUUUAACAUAAUUUCUCAGGCAAAUUAAUUGUUGCCAGUGACUAAGUGAAGCUCCCUGUUGGGGGAAUUUUACCCAGGCAUCUAGAUCCUCUCAUGAAAGCCAGGAUUUUUUUUUUUUUUUUUUUUUUUUUUUGUAGAUUUUCCAAUGACUGGUUUAGCUUUCACAUGUCUAGGACCAAGAAAUUCAAGUCCAUGUGCAUCUUAGGUCUCUCAGCAACUCCAAACACUGUUGCUAAGCCACUAGGCUAUUUCAGAUGACCUUUUAAAUCAAAUGCAGUUUGCUUAUUAUGUGGCUGUUGGGAUAGCUUCUUUGUUUUGCAAAUAAUGGAGAGUUUCCUAUCUGGGUUGGGCUUGUCAAUUUGGAAUAAUGAUAAAGGCGAUUUGUUAAUUUAAGAGAAUCCAACUCCUUAUGUAGUUUACUUUAAAAGUUUACCUGGUAGUUGAAAACUAAGGCUUCUAUUUUACAUGAGUGUUCCUUUUUGUUUUUAACAAAACCAAAAAAGUACACUUCUGGAGUGUAGUUUUUUUUUUUUUUUUUUUUUUUUUUUUGAGAUGGAGUCUUGCUCUGUCACCCAGGCUGGAUUGCAGUGGCAUGAUCUGGGCUCACUGCAACCUCUGCCUCCCGGGUUCAAGCCAUUCUCCUGCCUUAGCCUCCCAAGUAGCUGGGACUACAUGCAUGCCCCACCACGCCCGGCUAAUUGUUGUAUUUUUAGUAGAGGCAGGGUUUCACCAUAUUGGGCAGGCUGGUCUCGAACUCCUUACCUCAAGUGACCCAUCCACCUCGGCCUCCCAAAGUGCUGGGAUUAUAGGUGUGAGCCACCGUGCCUGGCCAGCGCAGGCAAUUUUAGAUUGUAUUACAAACACACAUAUACUUAAUGUACCUAAAUGUUUUUUUCUCAUAUAAUUUGUACAUUUACAUUUUCAUGAUUCAUUUACCUCUUGGUGGUGGUAAUACUUAUUAUGCUUACAGAGUAUGGUAAUAACUAUAAUGACAUCGCACAUUUGUAUAGUAUUUAUAGUUUAUUUAUUUUCACAUAUAUUAUUUGACUUGGGUCUCACAGUAGUUCUCUGAGAGAAGGGUACUAUCUUUCUUAAAAAACAUUUUUUUCUAUAAUCCAGUGAGAAUUGAGGUUCACAGGGGUCAGUAACUUACCCAAAGUCAUUCAGCUAGUAAAAAUGUACAACGUAGAUCUACUGAAUUAAUUCAUUGUUCUUUCCACUAUUAACACACAGCUGAAGGUUAAUCUCUUUAUAUUUCUAUUAAUCAUUUAUAUCAACUUUUCUUUCCCACGUAAAAAGUACCAAAGUGAUUUACAACAUGUUUAUGAACUUGCAUACGUGUAUUUAUAGAUGUCUAUGAUGGGCAUCCAGUAUGAGGCCACAGACAACUAGACACUUUUUAAGUUCAUUCAGUAAAUUUUUUGGGCCUCCUUUUCUAAGCCAGGUCUGCUUCUAGGAACUUGGAGAUGUAGAAAUAAACAAUAUGGACAAAAAUCUCGGCUCUCAUGGAGUUCUAAUUUGAGAGAUAGGAAAUGAAACAAGAUAGAACUUAUAAAUAUGUUAGAAGGAUGUGAGUGACAAGGAGAAAAAAGUAAACCGGGGAAGGGGACUAUAAAAUGUCAUAGGGAGGGAAAACAGUUGAAAUUUUUUAUUAGAGUGACCAGGGAAGACUUCAUCAAGGGGUGACUUUUAAAAAAUGAUAUAGAGGAAGUAAAGGAGCUAGCCAUGAGGUUGGUGGGGUAAGAGGAUUAACCAAAGGCAAAGGCCUUGAAAGAGCCCCAGCAUGUUCUUCUUCACGUGGAGUAAGGUCAGUGUGGCUGGAGUGGAGUUAGUAAGUGAGAGAGUAAUAGAAGGUGAAAUCAGGGAGGGAGCAGAGGGCCUGAAUCAUGUAGAAACUUGUUGGUUCUAGUAAGGACUUAGGUUUUUACUGUGAAUGAGAUGGGAAAACUUGGAGCAUUUUGAGAAAAGGAAUGACAUUAUCUGGUUCAGGUUUUAACAGGAUCAAGUUGCCUGCUCUAUUGAUAUUAAAUUGUAGGGAGACAAGAGUAGAGGCAGGAAGAUCAGUUAAAAGGCUAUUAUAGUAACUCAGGCUAGAGAUAAUGGUGACUUGGAUCAGGGUUGUGCAGUGGAGGUAAUACAAAAUGGUCAGAUUAUGGAUAUAUUUGAAGAUAUAGAUGACAGGAUUUGUUGACAGAUUGUGUGUUAAACAAUGAGAAAAUUAAAGAGUGAGACCAAAAAGAUUAAAGAGUGACAUCAAACUUUUUGGCCUGAACAAUGGAAAGGAUAGACUUCCCACUGACAGAGAUUGGAGAAGAUGGCAGGAGGAGCUGGUUGGCAUUUGGGGAGCAUCAGGAACUGCCAAGUGUCUAAUUUGACUUCCAUGUAAAAAUGUCAAGUACACCAUUGAACUUUGGUUCUGAAGUUUAGGGGAACAAUCCUGGCUAGAUACAUUAUUUGGUAGUCAUCUGUAUAUAGGUUGUACUUAUAGCUGAGAAAUUUUUUGAUGAUUUUGCAAAUUAUGGGAAUUAUUUUCAUGUAUUUGAUAAUGUGGGCUUGAAGACUUUUUAUUUCAGGCUUUGUAACCAAUACCAGCAAAAUGGAGUUUGCAUUAAACAAAUAUCAGGACACACAUAAAAUGUUCUAGAAGUGAUUUCAAGUGGUGGGUAUAGAUAUGCCGAGAGGUACCAUUCAAGGGGAAAGUGAUCUAAUACAUGCCAUGGGUGGAAUACUCAGAUCCAGGUAUUUCAGUGACAGUUUUUUUCCUAAGGAAUCUGUUUCAAUGAGAUUAGGUAGAUGAGAGGCAGACCUGGGACUGGAACCAAAGUGUGUCUGAUCCCAAAGCUUAUGCUUUUCUUACUUUGCAGCACACAAGAGAGUGUAAGCUGUCGACUUCCAACAGCAGUCAUGGUUCCGCUGAAAUGCAACAUAGUGUAAAAUUAAGCAUUGGACUAGGGUUUUUAGAACUGUGUUUGAAUCUCAGAUUUGCCAAAUCAAAUGAUUUUGGCAAGCCUUUUAACCUCUUUGGGCAUUAGUUUUCUCUUUUAUAAAAGAAUUGUAAUUAAACCUACUUCAUAGGGUUGUUACAAUGAACAAAUGUGAAAGGCUUUGUAAACACGAAUGCAAUCUAUGCAUAAUAUGUUAUACUAGGGAAAAAUUUGAUUUAAAUAGCAUCAAGAAUAAAAUGCUUUGGAAUAAAUUUAACAAAAGAAGUGCAAGAUAUAUACAUUGGAAACAAAGACAUUAAAAAUUGCUUCCUUUAAAUGGAAAGACAUCUCAUAUUUAUGUAUUAGAAGAAUUAAUACUAUUAAGAUGACUAUACUCCUCAAGUUGAUCCACAGAUUCAACGUGAUCUCUGUCAAAUUUCCAGCUGGACUUUUUUUUAAAAAAAUAGAAAUUGACAAACUGAUCCUGAAAUUCAUAUAGGAAUAUAUGGGACCCAGAAUAGCCAAAACAAUCUUGAAAAGGAAGAACGAACUUGAAGAACUCACACUUCCUGAUUUCAAACUUAUUACAAAGCUACAGUCAAUACAGUGUGAUACUGGCAUAAGGAUAGACAUAUAGACAAGUGGAAGAGAAUCGAGUGUCCAGAAGUCAAACCUUAUAUGUAUGGCAUAUUGAUUUUUAACAAAAGUGGCAAGACAAUUCAUUGAGAAAAGAAUAGUUUUUUCAACAAAUGAUGCUGGGAAAACUGGAGAUCCGCAUGCAGAAGAAUGAGGUUGGCUCCCUAUUUCAUACUAUAACAAAAAAAUCAACUCAGAAUAGGUCAAAGGCUUAAAUAUAAGAGCUAAAAUGAUAAAUCUCAUAGAGGAAAACAUAGGAACAAAUCUUCAUGACCGUGGGUUAGACACCAGUUUCUUGGAUACCAUACCAUAAACAUAAACAAUGAGAAAAAAUAGAUAAAUCGACUUCAUGAAAAUGAAAAACUUGUGCUGCAAAUGAUACUAUCAAGAAAGUUAGAAGAUAGUCUACAGGAUGGGAGAAAAUAUUUGCAAGUCAUAUAUUUGAUAAGGGACUUGUAUCUAGAAUAGAUAAGGCUUUGUAAACAAUACCAGCAAAACGGAGUUUGCAUUAAACAAAUAUUAGGACACCCAUAAAAAUGUUCUAUAAGUAAUUUCCAGUGGUAUGUGGGUAAAGAUAUGCCAAGAGUGCCAUGCAAGGGGAAAAUGAUCUAAUGCUUGCAAUGGGCUGAGUACUUAGAUCCAGGUAUUUCAGUGCCAGUUUUUUGCCUAAGGAAUCUGUUUCCAUGAGAUUAGGCAGAUGAGAGGCAGACCUGAAAUUGGAACCAAAGUGUGUCUGAUCCCAAAGCUCAUGCUUUUGUUACUCUACAACACACAAGUUAAGAGAGUGUGAGCUCUCACUCAAAAAUAGAAAGAUAUAUAACCCUAGUUAAAAAAUGAACAAAGAUAUGACUAGGCAUUUUCCCAAAGAAGAUAUAAAAAUGGCCAAUCAGCACAUAAGAUGUUUAAAUACCAUCAGUCUCUUGGGAAAUGCAAAUUAAAACCACAGUGAAAUACCAUUUAAUACUUACUAGCUUAGGAUGUCUAAAAUAGACAGAUAAUAAUAAGUGUUGAAGAUGUAGAGAAAGUGGAACCCUCAAAUGUUGCUACUGGGAAUAUAAAAUGGUGUAGUCCCUUUGGAAAGUAGUCUGGUAGCUAAUUAAUAGGUUGUUACUAUAUAUCCUAGAAAUUCCUAAGUAUAUGCCUAAGAGAAGUGAAAUCAUGCAUCCACACAAAAACUUGUAUGUGAAUGUUCAAAGGAGCAGUACUCAUUAGCCAAAAAGUGGAAACAAUACAAACGUGCAUCAAAUGAUGAAGAGAUAAAUAAAACAUGAUGUAUCCAUAAAUGAAAUAUUAUUUGGCAAUAAAAAGGAACAUGUACUGAUUCAUGCCACAACAUGGGUGAAACUUGAAAACAUUACGCUGAGUGAAAGAGACCAGUUACAAAAGACCGCCUACUAUUUAAUUCCAUUUGUAUGAAAUGUCCAGAAUAGGCAAAUCUAUAGAUUCAGAAAAUAGAUUCAUGGUUUCCUGAGGCUGAGAGCAAGGCAGGAAGAUGGGGAGUGACUGCUAAUGAGUAUGGGUUUCUAUUUGGGGUGACGAAAGUGUUCUAAAAUGGAUUGUGGUGCUGGUUGCACAACUCUGAGUAUACUAAAAACCAUCGAAUUAUGUGUUUUAGAUGGACAAAUUCUGUGGUAGAUGAAUUAUAUCUCAACAAAACUGUUCAGAAAUAUUAUUAGGGAUGCUGUCUGUGGUUGUAUUGGAUUUUUUACUCAGUGAAAGUAGAUACUCAGUUUCAGUGACUGAUUCUCUUUACAUUAUUCUGAAUUGUGUUGUGUGAACCAGCUGAGACUAAAAACCUAGUAGCAUUUCCUUAACUUUAAAGCUAAUGUAAAAUGAAGAUUUUCGUGUAAUGCCCAAAUUUUCGGAUUCCAGAUCCUGGUGACAUUUUUUAGAUCUACCAUCCUGUUUCCCAAAGUACUGUACUAUAUUAGAUAAAAAAUGCAGCCUUCUCCUUUCCUCCCUCCCUCCCUCCCUUUCUUCUUUCCUCCCUUUCCCCCUUCUUCCCUCCCUCGAGAAGACGGAGUUUCACCAUGUUGCCCAGGCUUGUUUUGAACUCCUGGGCUUAAGCGAUUCACCAUCUUGGCCUCCCAAAGAGCAAAGAUUACAGGCAUGAGCCACUGCGCCUGGCAUGUUAUCUCCAUUUUACAGAUGAGGAAACUGAGUCAGGUAACUUGCAUUAUAUAACUUUUGAAUAAUGAAAUCAGGAUUGAAAUUCAGGUUUCUAAAUUUCAUAUCCCAGUACAGUCUAGGUUGAUUUGUGGGAACGCCUCCUUCAAUUAUCUCUGGUUCUUUUUUUGCACCUGGUUGCAUGAAUAUUGCAAAACUCCAGUAUGAAGUAUCUAUCCAUAUGAUAAAUUAGAUCCUCAGAUCAAAUCCCCCAGGUUACAAGUUUAUAAUUUUAGGUGUUAAACAUGUAAUAGGUUUCUUCUAGCUUAUCUGAGUGUUAACAUGAAAAACUAACAACUUUAUUUUUUCUUCUUUUUUUCACUUGCAGCAAUGGUGAACUAGACCCCUGGUCAGGAGGUGGAGUAACUAAGGAUAUCACAGACACUCUGGUUGCAGUCACCAUCUCAGAGGGGGCCCACCACUUAGAUCUCCGCACCAAGAAUGCCUUGGAUCCUAUGUCUGUGCUGUUAGCCCGCUCCUUGGAAGUUAGACAUAUGAAGAAUUGGAUCAGAGAUUUCUAUGACAGUGCGGGAAAGCAGCACUGAGAAACUUUUGAUUGUUUUCAAUUUCUUCUUUUAUGUUCACACCACCACAUUCCCAUUCACUUUGAUUUUCUACAUGUAAUUACCUUCUUUUGUUUAUCAUUAGAUUUGAUGGGGCCAAAGUUGAGAUAGAAUAGAGGGUGAUGACGGUAAGAGCAAGUGUCCCAUGAAUGUGAUUUCCUGGGUUCUCACUGUCUUUGCACCACGUCUAGGAAGAAUCUUCUUGAUAGCUCUCCCACACCAUCAGUGGCCCUCAUAACUGGAGUAGAGUUCCUGGUUGCUUUUCAUAAGAGGGAGAGUUACUUUCUUUGUAUCUCUGCAAGCAGAGAUUUCUCUUUGGUUUUGAGGUUGAAGUGUCUUUGGCCCAUUUGUAAGUCCCCAUCCCUACCCUACACAAAGUAAAAGCAGAAGAUAGAUAAAAAAUGAUGUAAUUGCAGCUGGUAGGAUGUCUGGUGCCAAUCCAGGAAGUGAGAGCCAUUUCUUUUGUACCGGAUUUAAUGACUUUGAACUGUGCUGUAAAUAAAUAAUACAGCUGGACCUUA